rnacentral:sRNA from 1 species
GCAGGAGGAACGCGCGCGGCUGAGGCGAGGUCGCUCGGCGCAGCUGUUGCGGGGCCAUGGCGGGGACGGCGCUCAAGAGGCUGAUGGCCGAGUACAAACAAUUAACACUGAAUCCUCCGGAAGGAAUUGUAGCAGGCCCCAUGAAUGAAGAGAACUUUUUUGAAUGGGAGGCAUUGAUCAUGGGCCCAGAAGACACCUGCUUUGAGUUUGGUGUUUUUCCUGCCAUCCUGAGUUUCCCACUUGAUUACCCGUUAAGUCCCCCAAAGAUGAGAUUUACCUGUGAGAUGUUUCAUCCCAACAUGUCACCCUAUGGGGCCAACUCCUGGAGAAGGCAACACAGAAGUGGGAAACUUCCUGAUUUUGUGGAUGUGGAUCUUAGGUGGACAGCCUGAUGUCCAGGGCAAGUAUGCAUCUAGUUUCUUCCACUCUCCUUGAAUGAGAAGUUGUGGUUCAGUUCCUGGAUAGUAGAGCGUUCACCACUGAACGUUCACCACUGAAACAAUGGAUGAGUGGAAACACAUAGGACCAGGUAUGAAAGACAAGACUGUUUGAAGGUAAGUGAUCGCCAUUAACAUUUGUAAAUUUUCAUG